rnacentral:tRNA from 1 species
GCCUGGGUGGCUCAGUCGGUUGGGUGGGCGUCUGACUUCAGCUCAGGUCACGAUCACAGUCCGUGAGUUCGAGCCCCACGUCGGGCU